CGGAACGUGCCCUGGAGUGGGGGAUAACGCAGCGAAAGUUGCGCUAAUACCGCAUACGAUCUGAGGAUGAAAGCAGGGGACCCGCGAGGGCCUUGUGCUCCUGGAGCGGCCGAUAUCUGAUUAGCUAGUUGGUGGGGUAAAGGCCCACCAAGGCAUCGAUCAGUAGCUGGUCUGAGAGGACGACCAGCCACACUGGAACUGAGACACGGUCCAG
rnacentral:rRNA from 1 species